rnacentral:rRNA from 1 species
CCUACGGGUGGCAGCAGUGGGGGAUAUUGGACAAUGGGGGGAACCCUGAUCCAGCGACGCCGCGUGAGUGAAGAAGUAUCUCGGUAUGUAAAGCUCUAUCAGCAGGGAAGAAGAAAUGACGGUACCUGAGUAAGACGCCCCGGCUCACUACGUGCCAGCAGCCGCGGUAAUACGUAGGGGGCAAGCGUUAUCCGGAAUUAGUGGGGGUAAAGGGAGCGUAGGCGGUGGUGUAAGUCUGGAGUGAAAGGCGGGGGCACAACCCCCGGACUGCUCUGGAGACUAUGUGACUGGAGUGCAGGAGAGGUAGGCGGAAUGCCUAGUGUAGCGGUGAAAUGCGUAGAUAUUAGGAGGAACACCAGUGGCGAAGGCGGCUCACUGGACUGUAACUGACGUUGAGGCGCGAAAGCGUGGGGAGCAAACAGGAUUAGAUACCCGAGUAGUC